UGGACUGUAUAGUCCACGGGGUCACUAAGAGUCGGACACAACUGAGCGACUUUCACUUUGAUGAGAAUCUGAAGGUCUUUAUGUGGACUUUCAACAAUGGAGCAGCAGCUAGCUAAGGUGAAAGACUACCUGAAAUCAUUCUUAAAUAUUAAUACAUGCUCAUCAUAUGAGAACAUCUGGCUCACCUGCCAUGUCUGGCUUCCUAGGGUUUGUACUGUGGUGUAGUAUCAUAGCCAUCAGGAAUGAGCCUCCUGUUCCCUUGGAAUACAUUUUCACAGCUUUAAAACUUUUUAGUCCUUUACAAAUUCAUGCAGAAUGAGGAAUCCAGUGAUCAUUUGUAGUUGGGAUCCUCGGUGGAGUGAGGGCUGCUUUUUUCCUCAAAGGAUGCUUAAAGGAUAGUUUAGGUCAUCAUGGUUGAAUUUUGUCAAAGUUUAAUUUUUAAAAAUGUUGGAAACAUGACUCAUACAAAUACAGAAUGAAUAUGUGUCAAAGAUUUAUUGUAAUAACUUAUUAAUAAGGGAACCAGUUAGUUAAAGCUGGUUAUAAGAGCAUGUUGAAGAAUUGGGUAUUCAUAGAGAUUUGUAAAAGCAAACUAAGAGUAAAAAAGGAAUGUUAGAAUUAAGACGUUAGAUUUGAUAUAAAAGAGGAGAGCAUUCAAACUGUACCCUUUGGGGUUAUGUUUUCUAUUGGAUAAUAUCAAGCCUAUAAUUUGAGAGUCUAAGCUCAUAAUUGAUAGUAAUAACAAUGCUUUAUUCCGUUAGGCUAGGUAAUGAAAUUACUCUUGGACGAGACCACCAGCCCUCUUAGUUCCCAGUAAUGCAUCAAAAAUGGAGUUCAUUCCUUCUUGUGCUGAAUCUACUUGUGUCUAAUCCAUGGACUGUUUUCUCAACCCAUCCUCUGAUUUAACCUUGUUCAUGGGAGAGCCCAGAGGACAUUCCAUUUAUCAAAGCAGUCAAGAAUGCACAGGUGAAAGAGUCCAAUGAGGCAAAUAUUUGAUCCAUUUUAUAGAGAAUCUGCAUGCAAGUCAAGGCUGAGAAGGACUGACACCUUUGCCAAAGAUCCACAGAAAGAGGCAGACCUGGCCUCAACUCCAGGGCCACCUACCACCCAAGUCCAUGUAUUAGCAUCAGACCACACUGCUUAUGAAAGAAGGAUGAGAGACACUUCCAACCUCACCAGUGGCUGAUAGAUCUCUGGAAGACAGAAACAGCAUGAACUUAGUCAGAGGAGGAACAGAAAUAAUGUGUGCUGAAACUUUUUAUGGAAUUUUCAUCAGAACUGAGAAGUUAGCACUGAACUGCUUAGAUCUGCUGCAUGAAGCUGGUGGAUUGAUCAACACAAAAGGUGCUGUGGUACAUCACCCAAAUUCCCCUUCUGGACUUACUAGGCUCUUCCCUCACUAGCAGCCCGUGGGUUCUAAUCACAGGACAUAGAGCUUCUGAAAUUCCAUACCAUGCUCCAUGCUUGACCUCAUCACAGCAGUGGUGCUCCUUCAAAAUUGUGGAGGAUCAUCCUUCUAUCCUUGAACACUGUAAACUCACUUGCUCCCUUUACUUCCUCAGAGAAUCACAGGUCAACUACUGCAAGAAUUUCCUUUAUCUUUACCCUGGCAUCUGCUUUCUUCCCUUUAGGAAGCUCUCCUGCUCUUAGACUGAAAACCUGGCUGCUCUGUGUCUAGACUAGAAGUUCCGGAGAUGAACAGUGCUGAUGGUUGCACAACAAUGUGAAGGCAACAGGUGUGGCCUGGGGACCAAGCCUUGAUCUCCCUGGCACACGGGUUACCUGACAACAGGACAGAGGGGUGACUGCCCUGCCUGAAGAGGCAGGAGGAGGCCAGGACAUCCCGCCACCCUGCACAUGACAGUUUUCUGCCGUCAGCUCUGACCCAUGUCCUUUCACAAGGAAAAGGUGAUAAUGGGGGAGGAAACCGAGGCAGAGAAGCUCUCAUGCCUCACAGAAGGUGACCCUCUUGGGUGAGAGAACUACACAGUAGGGAGGUUUGGUAGAGAAAGGGGCGACUCCGAGUCCAAAGCCUUGUCCGUCAGGCUCGCCCACAAGGUGGCCGUCAGCGUCUACAAGCCCUGCCUGGACAGAGGCCAGUCACAGGUCUGCAGGCCCUUUGGAAUCACGUGCCCAGCUUCUGUGUUACCACCCAGCACGAGCCAGUCGGCUACAGGAGGACCUGAGAGCUCAGAGGCAGACUGCUGGGGUCACCCGGGGCUGCCAUACCCAGAGGCCUCUGAUCCGGCUCCUCGCACACCAGCCAGAAGGCAGAGCACCUGGAGGCUGGCAACCAGACCAUGGGAAAGGAAAAUGGCAGCCUGAUGCCAGACUGGGUAAUCCGUGGAGUGUUAUCUCAACAUCUGGACGAUUCCCUCCCAGCUGGUGACUUUUCCCCAACUGGGUGAGUUUAGAGUUUGAAGGGGUUUCAGCACUUCUCUGUCCCUUGCCUCUUACUUGCAGGGGAGACUGAGAACAGAGUGAGUAUGGGCACCACUAGGACCAAGCCCGACUCCAGGAGCUCCAGCAUACUUCAGUUCACCAGGGUCACCGCCCUGUGCGUGCAGCCUGUGCCUCCAGGACGCUGUCACCCUCAUCCUCUCCAGCCACUGUACAAAGCAUCAGCAUUCCCCACUGACAGGCGUGCCACCUCCAUCCAUUGCUGCUAUAAACAAUGCUGCAGAACACCUUUGCUCUUGCAUCUUUGUGUAGGAAAACAGUGACCUAUAUGCCUACGUUUCUGCCCCUGCUCACACCACUCCCACCAAAUGAGCACACUCCUGCCUCUGUGCUGCCUGUCCCCUCUGCCUGGGACACUCUUCUCCCAGGUAUUUGCAUAGCUCACCUGGCUCAAGUCUCUGUUCAAACACUGCUAAAUUAGGUGCCCCUCAAUCACCCCAUGUAAAACUGCAAUCCCCUCCCACUCUCAAACCACUCUUUUAAAAAUCUUGCUCUAGUUGUUUUUUCAUAGAACAUACCCUAGAACAGUGCUAACAGAACUUGCUGUAAUGAUGGAAAGGUUCUGUUUGUGCCACAAGCCACACAAAGCUAUGGAACACUUACAAUGUGACUAGUGGGACAGAGGAAGUGAAAUUUUUUUUUAAUUUUUAAUUUUAUUAGAGCACUUCCUUGGAGGUCCCGUGGUUAAGACCCUGCACUUCCACUGCUGAGGGUAUGGGUUUGAUCCCUGGUUGGGGAACGAGUAUCGCUGUGGCAUGAAGUGUGACCAGAAAGAAAGUUUUGUGUUUUUUCCACUGAUUUCAGAAGCCAUGUGUGAGUAGUGGCUACAGUACUGGACGGUGAGGCUCCGGAACCUGUUUUAGCUUCAUUUAUACAGCAUGCGAUGUGUUGAUAUGCAUGUACCCGGUGAAAUGACUACUGUAGUCAAGCUAGUUAACAUAUCCACUAGUUACCAUUUUUUGUGUAUGUGGUAUAGCUUCUGAGAUCUACUUCCCUUGCAAAUUUUCAGUAUACAGCACACUACUAACUAUAUUCACCAUGCUAUAUGUUACUUCCCCGGAACUCUUAGAACUAAAAAUAUGUACUCUUUGACCCACAUCUCCCAUAUCUCAGCCUGCCUCCUCCCACUCCUGGUAGCCAACUGCUCUGCUUUCUGCUUCUGUGAAUUUGACUUUGUUAGGUUCCACAUAUAAGUGAAAUCAUACAGUGUUUUUUUUGUGUGUAUGUGGCUUAUUUCAUUUAGCACAAUGACCUCAAGGUUCAUCCAUGUUGUCACAAAUGGAAGAAUCUAGAACUGACUGAUUUAUGUUUAUUACAUCUGUCUCUCCCAUCUCCAGUGAACUGUCAGCUCUUCAAGACAGAUUUGUGUUUCUGUUGAUCCACUGACGUGUCCCAAGUGCUUCAAAAAGUGCCCGGCACAUAGAGAAAGCGGCCAUCUACAGGUCAGGAAGACAGUUUUCACCAGGAACCAUUCCUGCUGGACCUUGAUCUGGGACUUCCAGCCUCGAGGGUGUGUCUGAGGUCACUGUGAAAGGCUGCAGGUGGCUUCCUUCAGGACUCGGCCCUCAGACUACAAACCAAAGGCCUAUUUGCAGUCACUUCCUGCUCCCCUCCCCCAGGCAGCUACUAGUCUGCUUUUUGUCUCUACAGAUGUGGCUAUCAGGACAUUUCAAAUGAAUGGAGUCAUACAUUAGGUGACCUUUUAAAAUUUCUUUUACUUAGCAUUUUUCCGGAGAGGGAGGAGGAAUUACAUCCAUGUUGUAGCAUGUAUCAAUGUUCCAUUUCUUUUUUAUCACUAGUUUUCUAUUGUUUGGAUGUACCAUAUUUUGCUUAUCCAUUCUCCAGUUGAUGAAUAUUUUGGUUAUUUCUGGUCUUUGGCUAUUAUGAAUACUCUUAUUAUGAAUAUCUGUGUACAAGUCUUUGUGUGCACAUAGAUUUUCAUUUCUCUUGGGUAGAUUUCUAGGAGCAGAAUUGCUAGGUCCUAUGAAGAAAUUAAUGUUUAACUUUUUAGGAAACUGCCAAAAUGGCUAUAGCACUUUAUAGUUCACCAGCAAUGCAUAAGAAUUUUAAUCUACUUGAUUUUAAAAAGAAUAACACAUCCCAGACAAUUUUUUUAAUUGAUUUGUAAGAGCCUUUAUAUUUCAAGGACACUAAUUUUUAUUUUUUUCUAUAUCACAGAUGCCCAUGGUUAACUUUUUAAAGGACAGUUUCAACUAAAUAAAGAAAAACUUCAAGAGAAAAAAGACUAGAAGCCAAAUUUAUUAAGCCAAAAUAUACAUUAUUGGGACUUCCCUCGUGAUCCAGUGGUUAGGACUCUGCACUUCCAAUACAGGGGCCCAGGGUUUGAUCCCUAG